rnacentral:rRNA from 1 species
AACGAACGCUGGCGGCAUGCCUAACACAUGCAAGUCGAACGAAGCCUUCGGGCUUAGUGGCGCACGGGUGCGUAACGCGUGGGAAUCUGCCCUUUGGUUCGGAAUAACAGUUGGAAACGACUGCUAAUACCGGAUGAUGACGAAAGUCCAAAGAUUUAUCGCCAGAGGAUGAGCCCGCGUAGGAUUAGCUAGUUGAUGUGGUAAAGGCGCACCAAGGCGACGAUCCUUAGCUGGUCUGAGAGGAUGAUCAGCCACACUGGGACUGAGACACGGCCCAAACUCCUACGGGAGGCAGCAGUGGGGAAUAUUGGACAAUGGGCGAAAGCCUGAUCCAGCAAUGCCGCGUGAGUGAUGAAGGCCCUAGGGUUGUAAAGCUCUUUUACCCGGGAUGAUAAUGACAGUACCGGGAGAAUAAGCCCCGGCUAACUCCAUGCCAGCAGCCGCCGUAA